UAAUCAUGAAUUUAAUCGCUGCAAGUUUCACAUUCUUUUCUUUACAAUAAUUGUAACAAUGAAAGACAAACUCUACCUUUCUCCCACUCAAGUAAGCUUCAACAUCAUUCAUCUCUUUAAAAUAUGGUAUUUUCAUCUUGAUAAAGCUUAAGUUAUUGCCUCUUUUAUCUUCCCUCCGGCUGGAUAUUACUUCCUCCAAGUCAACAUCAUUACAUGAACUAGCCUCUUCCUCUUGGAUUUGGUUUUUAGGCCUUGAUGAAGUAUGGUUUCAUUGCUUUACUUCUUCAAGGUCAGUUUUCAUCUUUUCCAUUGCUCUACGAAGUUUUGUAAGUGUAACAUCCACCCUUUUUAUUUGUGAAAAAUAAA
rnacentral:lncRNA from 1 species